AUGAACGCUAGCGGCAGGCUUAAUACAUGCAAGUCGAGGGGCAGCAGGACUGUAGCAAUACAGUUGCUGGCGACCGGCAAACGGGUGCGGAACACGUACGCAACCUUCCUUCAAAUGAGGAAUAGCCUUUCGAAAGAGAGAUUAAUACCUCGUAACAUUUUCUGGUGGCAUCACUGGAUUAUUAUAGCUCCGGCGUUUGAAGAUGGGCGUGCGCCUGAUUAGGUAGUUGGCGGAGUAACAGCCCACCAAGCCUACGAUCAGUAACUGGUGUGAGAGCACGACCAGUCACACGGGCACUGAGACACGGGCCCGACUCCUACGGGAGGCAGCAGUAAGGAAUAUUGGUCAAUGGACGCAAGUCUGAACCAGCCAUGCCGCGUGGAGGAUGAAGGUCCUCUGGAUUGUAAACUUCUUUUAUCGGAGAAGAAACCCUCAAAUUCUUUUGGGGUUGACGGUACCCGAUGAAUAAGCACCGGCUAACUCCGUGCCAGCAGCCGCGGUAAUACGGAGGGUGCAAGCGUUAUCCGGAUUCACUGGGUUUAAAGGGAGCGUAGGUGGGAUGGUAAGUCAGUGGUGAAAUCUCCGGGCUUAACUCGGAAACUGCCGUUGAUACUAUCAUUCUUGAAUAUUGUGGAGGUAAGCGGAAUAUGUCAUGUAGCGGUGAAAUGCUUAGAUAUGACAUAGAACACCGAUAGCGAAGGCAGCUUGCUACACAAUUAUUGACACUGAGGCUCGAAAGCGUGGGGAUCAAACAGGAUUAGAUACCCUGGUAGUCCACGCCCUAAACGAUGGAUACUCGACAUACGCGAUACACAGUGUGUGUCUGAGCGAAAGCAUUAAGUAUCCCACCUGGGAAGUACGACCGCAAGGUUGAAACUCAAAGGAAUUGACGG
rnacentral:rRNA from 1 species